rnacentral:rRNA from 1 species
UACGAAGGGGGCUAGCGUUGCUCGGAAUCACUGGGCGUAAAGCGCACGUAGGCGGAUUGCUAAGUCAGGGGUGAAAUCCUGGAGCUCAACUCCAGAACUGCCUUUGAUACUGGCGAUCUCGAGUCCGGGAGAGGUGAGUGGAACUGCGAGUGUAGAGGUGAAAUUCGUAGAUAUUCGCAAGAACACCAGUGGCGAAGGCGGCUCACUGGCCCGGUACUGACGCUGAGGUGACGAAAGCGGUGGGAGCAAACAGGG